rnacentral:rRNA from 1 species
AUUCCAGCUCCAAGAGCGUAUAUUAAAGUUGUUGCAGUUAAAAAGCUCGUAGUUGGAUUUCUGGUACAACGCGCCUGGCCCGCAUUUGUGAGUGCCGGCGCGCGUUUGCCAUCCUUCUAGAAAACGUUUCUACCUGGGCAACUGGGCCGGACUCGCGAUCUAGAUCUUUUACUUUGAAAAAAUUAGAGUGUUUAAAGCAGGCUUUUGCUGUGAAUACAUUAGCAUGGAAUAAUAAUCUAGGACUUCGGUUCUAUUUUGUUGGUUUCUAGUACUGAAGUAAUGAUUGAUAGGGAUAGUUGGGGGUGCUAGUAUUGGCCGGCCAGAGGUGAAAUUCUUGGAUUCGGUCAAGACUAACUUAUGCGAAAGCAUUCACCAAGGAUGUCUUCAUCA